UGGAGUGGACGAGGCGGUUGCUCCUUCUACUCUGCAAGAGAAAGAAGGGGAGGAAAGUCCGGACUCCAAAGGGCAGGAUGGUCGUUAACAGCGACUCCGGGCGACCGGAGGAAAGUGCCACAGAAAACAUACCGCUCUGUGAGAUUGGCCAAGCUGCCGUCUCACGGAGUAAGGGUGAAAAGGUGAGGUAAGAGCUCACCGUUCUGGUGGGGACAUCAGGAGCAUGGUAAACCCCAUCCGGAGCAAGACCAAAUGAGCCCAUUAUGGGAUGGCCCGUCCCCAGGGCAGGUAGGUCGCUCAUCCCUUUGAGCAAUCAAGGGGUUAGACAAAUAACCGCCCCCGAUUCCAGCGGGAACAGAAUUCGGCUUAUGUUCUGCUCCAGCCG
rnacentral:RNase_P_RNA from 1 species